AUUGAACGCUGGCGGCAUGCUUUACACAUGCAAGUCGAACGGGUGCGGGGGGCAACUCCUGCAUUAGUGGCGAACGGGUGAGUAAUGCAUCGGAACGUACCGUGUAGUGGGGGAUAACGAGUCGAAAGAUUCGCUAAUACCGCAUACGUCCUGAGGGAGAAAGCGGGGGACCCGAGAGGGCCUCGUGCUAUACGAGCGGCCGAUGUCCGAUUAGCUAGUUGGUGGGGUAAAGGCCUACCAAGGCGACGAGCGGUAGCGGGUCUGAGAGGACGGCCCGCCAGACUGGGACUGAGACACGGCCCAGACUCCUACGGGAGGCAGCAGUGGGGAAUUUUGGACACUGGGCGCAAGCCUGCUCCAGCCAUGCCGCGUGAGUGAAGAAGGCCUUCGGGUUGUAAAGCUCUUUCGGCCGGGAAGAAAUCGCGCCUGUGAAUAAUGGGCGUGGAUGACGGUACCGGAAGAAGAAGCACCGGCUAACUACGUGCCAGCCGCCGCCGUAACAC
rnacentral:rRNA from 1 species